rnacentral:lncRNA from 1 species
UCCGUCGCUUUACGCUGGACCCCCGGAAGGCAUCCACGGUGCGAAGCAAGUGUCUACGUCAAAUACUCAAGGCAGCACAUGAGAAUCGCCGAUUGGGACUACCAAGUCGCCGAUUCCAGGGGUGCAUCGCCGACUUCAGACAGAGCACUCGGGUCUGGUAGACCAAGGACCUGACCACAAGGGAGUCGGCGACUCCACCUCUGAAUCGGCGACUCCCAUACCUGAGUCGUCGAUUCCCAACCGUUAUUUGGGAGGGCCCACGUCAUUAUGGCACCCUUAAUUGGGCGCCAUAAUGGAGUGGGCCCCACACUAAUGAAUGGGGAAAACGCCCCCAGGACCCUAUAAAAGGGAUCCUUGGGGAUCCUUCACUCCCAAGUCAUUCCCACCAAGGUUCUGGGUGCGCGCGCAUAUGCGAUGAUGCGCCCCCACAGACGCAUCUCCCUUAGCCGGAUCCUGGUAAAAUCCGACCCGAAUCCAGGCCUGUUUUAAGUUAUUUAAAUAACUUAAAACAGUGUUUUGUUUUUAUUUUAAAAAAAAGGCCAAAUUUUUAUUUUAUUUUAAGACCUUAUAAAAAUUUAUACAUUGGUCCAUGAAAAGAGUUAUAUUAUUUUUAAUAUAAGCUCCUCCCACUCUUU